AUGUAAUAGUCUAGGAAUGGAACCAUUUCUUGAUUAAGAGAAAAGAUCAAAUUGAAUAAUCCCGCUUCUCCUCUAGAGAGAAUUAUCAAUAAACUCAGAUCUUAAAUAAUCAAAUAACUCAUUAGUUUUUCAGUAAGAAAUUCUUAUGCAAACACAAAGUCAAUAUAUUAUAAGUUAAAUCACAAAAUGCAUAACAACUCAAAUGCCGACAAUCUCAUUUGAAAUUUUGACAACUACUUAACAAUGAAAUUCGUUCCCUUUGCCUCAACAAUGUCGAGACAACAUGCAUACAGUAAUUAUACAUAUACAUGAUGAUGAACCGAUAUUUCAAUUGCCAAAUGAAAACAAAAUUCAGUUUCUAGGUCAAACUUCAUUUACCCUUUCAUAAAUUUGUAAAUUAUACUUUGCAAGAAUAUGAUAAGGUGCAAUCAAACUGAAACAGAACUUUUAGUCAAUAGCAAACAGGUCUAGUUUUAUACUGCAAUUUCAAGAAUGAGAUAUUUAAGUGACAUUUUUUUCAGUUUCUAUAUUUUUUUUUUCAAAACACAAUGCACAUUUAAUUUGUUUCAAGACAAAAUUAUAUAUGCAGACUCAUGCAUAUUCGGUUUUUAUUCGAAAAAUAAUGAGACUGUGUAGAGACAAUGUCUGCAAACACAUAUAAUCGUAACAAGAAUUAAAAUUGAAAACCUAUCUUCAGAAGAUCGUUGAAAGAAGAAGCAAUCACAUCAAUUGGUUAUUGUGUGCUAUACAGAUAUAAACAUUAUUUCCUCAUAGAAUUCAAGCCAUACAAAUGCAAAUUGGAAAAUUAAACAAGUAAGGUGUUUAUAAAAUGCACAGUAAACAAAUCCAUGCAAUUAAAACGUUUUCUGCGUUUGUAGAUAUGCAUAUAGGUACCAAUUAACAACGCAUUCAUUCAAAAAAUUGUGACUGUAGUGAUGAUAUUUACGGAAAAAAUCCAGAGAUUCAAAUAUGCAUAUAGGUAAACCAAUAUGCAUAUAUAUAAAACUGCAUAGAGCAUAACUUUUCCCCUUUGACGAUAUAGAAUCUGAAACCCAAAUUAACAUGUUUUUGUCCAGAAUUUUCAGAUUCUAAGUCAUUGUUUAACAUGAUCAUAACUCAAUCAAUUCACUACGAAAUUUAGCAAAUAAUAUAUGGAUUUUAUAGUACUAGGAAGGAUCUACAAGACUACAUAAUUCUUGUUGGUAUUUGAUGCCUAUAUUUACCAGGCAAAAAAAAACUAAUGAGUUCAGAAAUAUUUUUUUUUUCUUCAGAUAAUUCUAGAGCAAACCCCUGAUCUCAAUCGUUUAAACCACAAUGCUAAGUGAGAGAGAAAUAAGAUUGCUACAACACUGUAGAAAUUAAAACAAGUUUGUCACUCAAAAGUAUUAACUAAUAUAGGAUAAACUAUACUAUUGUAUAAUAACCACAGAUCAAUUAAUAAUGAAAGGUAUGGUUGACCUAUGCGUAAAUAAAUGGUUUGGACGAGUCAAAAUAUCCGAAUGGAUAAAGAUGGGUGUGCACACACAGUUCACGAAUUGUAUAAAACGUUUCAAGUCACGCUGGUUUUUUUUUUGUGGGUUAUAAACUGGUAUUUAAAUUGAUCAGUCGUGUCCCUUAGAAACUGUAUCUAAAAGUGUUUUGGUAUUGAAUAAAAUAAAAAUGCAUAAAGUCAAAAAUAAUGAAAGAAGGGCACGGUCAUGAACAGAAGAGAAAGGUUAGCCUUCCCAGGCUUUCAGCGACACGGCACAAAUAAUAAAAAAAUAAAAUAAAAAUGCAGAGAGGCAAAUUAUUAACAGCAUAAGUAAAAGGAAUAUAUUGCAGAGAAUCAAAGAUGCAAUCAGUGAAGGGUAUGGUUAGCCUUUCCCAGAAAAUUCAACAGCAUGAAAACUACAAUUAUUGGACUUUCAAAGCACUGUGAAAACAGAUUAUAAAAAUUUGCAAUUAUAUUAUCACACUUAUACGGCUUUAGUUGUAGGAUAAUAUAAAUGAUUAUGAUCAUAAUUUACAUGUAAAUUCAAUCAAUUAGAUAAUACCCAAAUGCAUCAAACACAUAUAUCAA
rnacentral:lncRNA from 1 species